rnacentral:tRNA from 1 species
UUCUAAUAUGGCAGAUUAGUGCAUUGGAUUUAAGCCCCAAAAAUAAAAAUUUUUUUUUUUUUAGA